CUGGCUCCUAGCACAACAGCACGGGAGGCUGAGCAAGUGCAUCUCCUAAAGCUCAGCAAAGCCUUCCAUGCUUCAGCUUGGGGAUGUAAGAUAUAUAAGUACUACAAAGCAUCCGGGAGCCUGAUAUUCCUAUAUGCUAUUUGUCACAAAAGUGCAUCUGGUUGUUUCACAGCGCACUGAUGUGGCAAAGGUAUCUUCCUCAAUGGGAUAUCUACAAGCAGCAAGUGUCCUAGUCCAAAAAUCAGGGUUUUUCAAGCCUUUGUGCUCUACAAAUAUCAAUAGUAUUGCAUCCUGUUUCUUUUCAGCUGAUCAAUUCUCCAUAAACACAGUGCUGUGCUGAGGGAGAAGCACUGAAGCAUGAAAACCCUCUUUUUUCCUGGAUACUCCAUGUGAUUUCUCAUCUGUGAGGCAGGAUUGAUGACUUAUUUAUCCCAUUUUUUCUUCAAAAGCAUUCUCUAAAAUGACUCAGAUACUUCUUGUAUAGUCAUUCGAAAUGGAAAAUUCUAUUGUGCUCAGAAUUAGAGAAGGUUUUCACUCCUGUUUGAAGAACCAUAGCUCUGAUACAUGGAAAGGACGCUUUAUGUUGUACAGACAGUGACAUCAGAGUUGCACUGGACUGAAAGCAAGUGUAAAAUGAUGAAAUUCUAUCUACAGUUUUUCUUCCAGUUUUAGUGAGUAUCUGUUUAUUCUGUUUGUUUUUUUGUUCUUGUUGCUUUUUGUUUUUUAAUAUCCAUGUCUUAUGGUUUCAUCUUUUCUCAGGAAAAAGAUAAGAUUCUGGCUUUCCUUACACGUGUAUCGCUUGGCUGCACUCAUUGCAAAGGAGCCCUGCGAGGAAAGAUGCUGGGUGGAAACGGAUAGAACGUGGUCAGGAGAUAAAAAGCUCUUCAUUUCCAAAGAAUGCCCAUGUGCCCUCUUGACAUAUAAUUAUAUUUCUUGCUUGCAUACAGCAGCAAGGCUCAGGUUGGAUCAUCAUGCUUCUCUUGGGAGAGUUGCAACUGCCAAGCAUGUGCGCGUGUAAGAGCUGGAUGUGGACCCUCCUCUGGGUGUUGCAUGAAGAGAUCAAGCAGCUUUUAGUCCCCAGUUAUGUGGUCAUAGCUCCUACUGAGGCCAGUAUCUACUCUGCAAUGCUAGGUUUUGGAAGGAAUAUAAUUGUGCUUUUGUAAAAACUUUAAUUGGUGUACAUCAGCACCUCACUUCUCUGCAAAUAAAAUUAAUUAGUAUUAAAAGCA
rnacentral:lncRNA from 1 species